UGGGGAAUCUUGCGCAAUGGGCGAAAGCCUGACGCAGCGACGCCGCGUGCGGGAAGAAGGCCUUCGGGUUGUAAACCGCUUUCAGGAGGGACGAAGCCACUCGGGUUAAUAGCCCAGAGGGUGACGGUACCUCCAGAAGAAGCCCCGGCUAACUACGUGCCAGCAGCCGCGGUAAUACGUAGGGGGCAAGCGUUGUCCGGAUUUAUUGGGCGUAAAGAGCGUGUAGGCGGCCAUGCAGGUCCACUGUGAAAACUGGAGGCUCAACCUCCAGAGGUCGGUGGAAACCGUAUGGCUAGAGUCCGGAAGAGGAGACUGGAAUUCCCGGUGUAGCGGUGAAAUGCGCAGAUAUCGGGAAGAACACCCGUGGCGAAGGCGGGUCUCUGGGACGGUACUGACGCUGAGACGCGAAAGCGUGGGGAGCGAACAGGAUUAGAUACCCUGGUAGUCCACGCCGUAAACGAUGGGCACUAGGUGUGGGAGGUGUCGACUCCUCCCGUGCCGAAGCUAACGCAUUAAGUGCCCCGCCUGGGGAGUACGGCCGCAAGGCUAA
rnacentral:rRNA from 1 species